rnacentral:rRNA from 1 species
GACGAACGCUGGCGGCGUGCUUAACACAUGCAAGUCGAACGGUGAACGAGGGAGCUUGCUCCCUCCGGAUCAGUGGCGAACGGGUGAGUAACACGUGAGCAAUCUGCCCCGAACUCUGGGAUAAGCGUUGGAAACGACGUCUAAUACCGGAUACGACGCGGGAGGGCAUCCUCUCCGCGUGGAAAGAACUUCGGUUCGGGAUGAGCUCGCGGCCUAUCGGCUUGUUGGUGAGGUAACGGCUCACCAAGGCGACGACGGGUAGCCGGCCUGAGAGGGUGACCGGCCACACUGGGACUGAGACACGGCCCAGACGCCUACGGGAGGCAGAAGUGGGGAAUAUUGCACAAUGGGAGCAAGCCUGAUGCAGCAACGCCGCGUGAGGGACGACGGCCUUCGGGUUGUAAACCUCUUUUAGCAGGGAAGAAGCGAAAGUGACGGUACCUGCAGAAAAAGCACCGGCUAACUACGUG